GUGGUGGUGGCUAUUGUGGAUUUUGUUCGAAAUGCUCAAAAUGCGACAAUACAUUUCUUUUGCUCUUUCUCUUACAUCUGUCAAACGGGCGCAAAAUUUUUUCGUCGAUAUAUUGACGCCUUUUUUUGCAUUUUAACCCGACAUACUAAUAUUUCAUUAUAAAUAAA